rnacentral:rRNA from 1 species
GCUUACGGCCAUACCACCCUGAAAACGCCCGAUCUCGUCUGAUCUCGAAAGCUAAGCAGGGUCGGGCCUGGUUAGUACUUGGAUCGGAGACCGCCUGGGAAUACCAGGUGCUGAAAGCU